rnacentral:rRNA from 1 species
GACGAACGCUGGCGGCGUGCUUAACACAUGCAAGUCGAACGGAAAGGCCCUGCUUUUGUGGGGUGCUCGAGUGGCGAACGGGUGAGUAACACGUGAGUAACCUGCCCUUGACUUUGGGAUAACUUCAGGAAACUGGGGCUAAUACCGGAUAGGAGCUCCUGCUGCAUGGUGGGGGUUGGAAAGUUUCGGCGGUUGGGGAUGGACUCGCGGCUUAUCAGCUUGUUGGUGGGGUAGUGGCUUACCAAGGCUUUGACGGGUAGCCGUCCUGAGAGGGUGACCGGCCACAUUGGGACUGAGGUACGGCCCAGACUCCUUCGGGAGGCAGCAGUGGGGAAUAUUGCACAAUGGGCGGAAGCCUGAUGCAGCAACGCCGCGUGCGGGAUGACGGCCUUCGGGUUGUAACCCGCUUUCGCCUGUGACGAAGCGUGAGUGACGGUAAUGGGUAAAGAAGCACCGGCUAACUACGUG